AUUGAACGCUGGCGGCAGGCCUAACACAUGCAAGUCGAGCGGAGCGGCGGACGGGUGAGUAAUGUAUGGGGAUCUGCCCGAUAGAGGGUGAUACCUACUGGAAACGGUGGCUAAUACCGCAUACUAUCUGAUGACCCCAUAUGGGAGUAGCUAGUAGGUGGGGUAAAGGCUCACCUAGGCGACGAUCUCUAGCUGGUCUGAGAGGAUGAUCAGCCACAAUGGGACUGAGACACGGCGCAGACGCCGACGGGAGGCAGCAGUGGGGAAUAAUGGACAAUGGGCGAAAGCCUGAUCCAGCCAUGCCGCGUGUGUGAAGAAGGUCUGCGGAUUGUAAAGCACUUUAAGUUGGGAGGCGUUACCAACAGAAUAAGCACCGGCUAACUUCGUGCCAGCAGCCGCGGUAAUAC
rnacentral:rRNA from 1 species